rnacentral:rRNA from 1 species
UGAAACGGUAGCUAAUACCGCAUAACGUCGCAAGACCAAAGAGGGGGACCUUCGGGCCUCUUGCCAUCGGAUGUGCCCAGAUGGGAUUAGCUAGUAGGUGGGGUAACGGCUCACCUAGGCGACGAUCCCUAGCUGGUCUGAGAGGAUGACCAGCCACACUGGAACUGAGACACGGUCCAG